CCUGGCUCAGGAUGAACGCUAGCGGCAGGCCUAAUACAUGCAAGUCGAACGGUUGUAGCAAUACAAUAGUGGCGCACGGGUGCGUAACGCGUAGCCAACCUACCCGAAUCUGGGGGAUAGCCCGCCGAAAGGCGGAUUAAUACCGCAUAAAACCACAGGGUGGCAUCACCUAAUGGUUAAAGAUUUAUUGGAUUCGGAUGGGGCUGCGUGCCAUUAGCUAGUUGGGGAGGUAACGGCUCACCAAGGCGACGAUGGCUAGGGGAGCUGAGAGGCUGGUCCCCCACACGGGCACUGAGAUACGGGCCCGACUCCUACGGGAGGCAGCAGUAGGGAAUAUUGGGCAAUGGGCGAGAGCCUGACCCAGCCAUGCCGCGUGCAGGACGAAGGCUUUCUGAGUCGUAAACUGCUUUUACCAGGGAAGAAAAAAGGGGAUGCGUCCUCUACUGAC
rnacentral:rRNA from 1 species